AGAUUGAACGCUGGCGGCAGGCCUAACACAUGCAAGUCGAGCGGCAGCACGGGAAGCUUGCUUCCUGGUGGCGAGCGGCGGACGGGUGAGUAAUGCAUAGGAAUCUGCCCGGUAGUGGGGGAUAACCUGGGGAAACCCAGGCUAAUACCGCAUACGUCCUACGGGAGAAAGCAGGGGACCUUCGGGCCUUGCGCUAUCGGAUGAGCCUAUGUCGGAUUAGCUGGUUGGUGAGGUAACGGCUCACCAAGGCGACGAUCCGUAGCUGGUCUGAGAGGAUGAUCAGCCACACUGGGACUGAGA
rnacentral:rRNA from 1 species